GGGCUGUCUUCUGUAUACCACGCCUACCUCGCCACAACACAACUGAUUGGCUCAAACGCAUUCCGAAGGAAAGAAAUUCCACAAAUUAACUUUUAACGAGGGCACACCUGUUAAUUGAAAUGCAUUCCAGGUGACUACCUCAUGAAGCUGGUUGAGAGAAUGCCAAUAUUAAAUAUAUACUGAUUUGUUGAAAACUUUUUGUUGGGUUACUACAUGUGUUAUUUCAAUGUAGAAGUGAAAUGUGUUGUUUUACAGGGUCAGCCAUAGUAGUACAGAGCCCUAGGAGCAAUUUAGGGUUAAGUGGCUUUUCCAAGGACACAGCGACAGAUUUUCCACUCUUUUAGCUCAGGUAUUGCAGAGAGGUAUCAAUGUUAUAGAAUUCAUAUUGUGAUCCAAAUGAUUCACAACAGGCCGACAACAACUAACGAAUUGGCUGAGUCGCAGUUAUCAGUUAUCGCAUGCUUUGUGUUAACUGGGCGGCAGGGUAGCCUAGUGGUUAGAGCGUUGGACUAGUAACCGAAAGGUUGCAAGUUCGAAUCCCUGAGCCGACAAGGUACAAAUCUGUCGUUCUGCCCCUGAACAGGCAGUUAACUCACUGUUCCUAGGCCGUCAUUGAAAAUAAGAAUUUGUUCUUAACUGACUUGCCUGGUUAAAUAAAGGUAAAAAAAAAAAAAAAAAAAAAAAAAAAAAAACUGUGAGGCCUGUGUGGGUGUAGUGGAGAAUAGAGGACUGUGGGUGUACUGUACUGGAGCAGCAGAGAUACAGGGUUAUAUCAGGUCACAGUAGUUAGUCGAUCCAUCCAUCUACAGGGUUAUAUCAGGUCACAGUAGUUAGUCGAUCCAUCCAUCUACAGGGUUAUAUCAGGUCACAGUAGUU
ensembl:lncRNA